AUGGGACAGGCUUUCCCCACAUCCUCAUCCAAACAAAACCUGGAUUUCGGUGAGCGUCUGAUAAAUGAAUUAGACGAUCUGAACCAAAAAAUAAUCAUGGCAAAAUCUGAUAUACUGAAGAAAUCAGAGGCUAAAGAAAGUUAUUUCAUGGCCAAGAUCAAAGAACAAGAUGACCAACUGGGUCUAUACAGAGAGAAGUUCCAGGAAAUGCAGGAACACUUUGAAGGGAAAUUAAAGGAGGCUCAGGACAAGUGCAGCUGUCUCACUGAUGAACUGCAGCUUUCCUACGACCAGUGCAGAACCCUCACCUCUGAGCUCAUGGAGAGCAAGAACCAGUCCGCUAUGCUGUCUUCACAACUGGAGUUCUAUCAGAACCAACAUAAUCUGUCCUUCCCAAACGACAUGGAGUCCAAUUACCAUGAGAACAUGUGUGUCCCCAGCACAGAGACGUCUGACCUUGUCUGGAUAACACAACAGGUGGAAAACAAUGUGUGUGUCACACAAGAUCCUUAUGUGUUCUUAACACCAGUUUAUCAAGGGCCCACUAACAGUAUGGGGGACUACUCUCAGCCCCCUCAGCAAUUGAUACCAUCAUACAAGUAUCUAGGUGACGAUACGGUCUACUAUGGUCAGCCAUAUUACCUAGACCCCAAUACUGUUUGGUUCAACAACUACGAGCCCACACCAGAUGGACAGUUCUACACAGUGAACCCAGACUUCCAGUACCUUGUGUCUGAAUUCUCCCAACCCUCUACAGAGAAGAUGGAACCGGACCACGAACUCUCCAAUGAACUGGGUCAGUGUACGGACCAGGACCAAGGACUCUUUACUGGUCUCAAUGAGAGACAGGAAGUGCGACCUACAUUCAUGUCUGAUAUGACAGAAAGCUUGGAGGAAUGUUCCAUGAAGUUUGUAGAAGUGACAGAGACGGAGGAGCAGGACGAUACUUCCUCAGUCAAAGCGGACAAGAAGCAGCUGGAGAAUCUCUCCUCAGAACAGAAGGAGAAUGAAGUCCAGGAGAAACCAAAGAAAGUAAAGCGCAGAUGGAAGCGUAAACCUAAACAUUAG
ensembl:lncRNA